rnacentral:rRNA from 1 species
AACGAACGCCGGCGGCAGGCUUAACACAUGCAAGUCGAGCGCAUCCUUCGGGGUGAGCGGCGGACGGGUGAGUAACGCGUGGGAACGUGCCCUCUUCUACGGAAUAGCCUCGGGAAACUGAGAGUAAUGCCGUAUACGCCCGCAAGGGGAAAGAUUUAUCGGAGGAGGAUCGGCCCGCGUUGGAUUAGGUAGUUGGUGGGGUAACGGCCUACCAAGCCGACGAUCCAUAGCUGGUUUGAGAGGAUGAUCAGCCACACUGGGACUGAGACACGGCCCAGACUCCUACGGGAGGCAGCAGUGGGGAAUCUUGGACAAUGGGGGCAACCCUGAUCCAGCCAUGCCGCGUGAUCGAUGAAGGCCUUAGGGUUGUAAAGAUCUUUCAGCUGGGAAGAUAAUGACGGUACCAGCAGAAGAAGCCCCGGCUAACUCCGUG